rnacentral:rRNA from 1 species
UACAGAGGGGGCAAGCGUUGUUCGGAAUUACUGGGCGUAAAGGGCGCGUAGGCGGUCUUCUAAGUCUUGUGUGAAAUCCCUCGGCUCAACUGAGGAACUGCACGGGAUACUGGAAGACUUGAGUUCGGGAGAGGGAAGCGGAAUUCCGGGUGUAGCGGUGAAAUGCGUAGAUAUCCGGAGGAACACCGGUGGCGAAGGCGGCUUCCUGGACCGAUUACUGACGCUGAGGCGCGAAAGCUAGGGGAGCAAACGGG